rfam:Brachypodium distachyon strain Bd21 chromosome 1, whole genome shotgun sequence.
CUAUUACUCCCUCCGUCUGGAAAAGGAUGUCUGAAAUUUGUCUAAAUUUGGAUGUAUCUAGACACUAUAACAUGUCUAGAUACAUCCAUAUUUUGAAAAAUUUGCGACAUCCUUUUUAGGACGGAGGGAGUAAUUU